AUGCAAACGAUAACAAUGAAGCAUUUGCGGUUGCCGCUUAAUCGCUAAGCAACCACGGGGUCCGGGGGCACCUAGCAACAGAAGCCCCCACU
rnacentral:tmRNA from 1 species